rnacentral:rRNA from 1 species
UACAUGCAGGUCGAACGGCAAGUUGAAUAGCAAUAUUGACCUAGAGUGACGUACGGGUGCGUAACACGUAUGCAACCUACCCAAAACUGAAGGAUAGCUCGGGGAAACUCGAAUUAACCCUCCAUAAGAUCAUAGAGUAGCAUUACUUAGUGAUUAAAACUCCGGUGGUUUUGGAUGGGCAUGCGUCUGAUUAGUUAGUUGGCGGGGUAACGGCCCACCAAGACGAUGAUCAGUAGGGGAACUGAGAGGUUGAUCCCCCACACUGGCACUGAGAUACGGGCCAGACUCCUACGGGAGGCAGCAGUAGGGAAUAUUGGUCAAUGGGUGCAAGCCUGAACCAGCCAUGCCGCGUGCAGGAAGAAGGCGUUAUGCGUUGUAAACUGCUUUUGCCAGGGGAUAAAAUUUCCUUGCGAGGAACAUUGAAGGUACCUGGUGAAUAAGCCACGGCUAACUACGUGCCAGCAGCCGCGGUAAUACGUAGGUGGCAAGCGUUGUCCGGAUUUAUUGGGUCUAAAGGGUGCGUAGGCGGCCCUGUAAGUCAGUGGUGAAAUACUCUAGCUUAACUAGAGGGGUGCCAUUGAUACUGCAGGGCUUGAGUGGAGUCGAAGUAGGCGGAAUUGACGGUGUAGCGGUGAAAUGCUUAGAUAUCGUCAAGAACACCGAUAGUGAAGACAGUUUACUAGGCUUCUACUGACGCUGAGGCACGAAAGUGUGGGGAUCAAACAGGAUUAGAUACCCUGGUAGUCCACACUGUAAACGUUGAUUACUCGCUGUUGGCGAUACACAGCCAGCGGCCAAGCGCAAGCGAUAAGUAAUCCACCUGGGGAGUACGCCGGCAACGGUGAAACUCAAACGAAUUGACGG